rnacentral:rRNA from 1 species
CCUACGGGUGGCAACAGUGAGGAAUAUUGGUCAAUGGACGAGAGUCUGAACCAGCCAAGUAGCGUGAAGGAUGACUGCCCUAUGGGUUGUAAACUUCUUUUAUAUGGGAAUAAAAUGUUCCACGUGUGGGAUUUUGUAUGUACCAUAUGAAUAAGGAUCGGCUAACUCCGUGCCAGCAGCCGCGGUAAUACGGAGGAUCCGAGCGUUAUCCGGAUUUAUUGGGUUUAAAGGGAGCGUAGGUGGAUUGUUAAGUCAGUUGUGAAAGUUUGCGGCUCAACCGUAAAAUUGCAGUUGAAACUGGCAGUCUUGAGUACAGUAGAGGUGGGCGGAAUUCGUGGUGUAGCGGUGAAAUGCUUAGAUAUCACGAAGAACUCCGAUUGCGAAGGCAGCUCACUGGACUGCAACUGACACUGAGGCUCGAAAGCGUGGGGAGCAAACAGGAUUAGAUACCCUUGUAGUC